UACGGGAGGCAGCGGUGGGGAAUAUUGCACAAUGGGCGCAAGCCUGAUGCAGCCAUGCCGCGUGUAUGAAGAAGGCCUUCGGGUUGUAAAGUACUUUCAGUCGUGAGGAAGGUGUUAAGGUUAAUAACCUUAGCAAUUGACGUUAGCGACAGAAGAAGCACCGGCUAACUCCGUGCCAGCAGCCGCGGUAAUACGGAGGGUGCGAGCGUUAAUCGGAAUUACUGGGCGUAAAGGGCACGCAGGCGGUUAAUUAAGUUGGAUGUGAAAUCCCCGGGCUUAACCUGGGAAUGGCAUUCAAGACUGGUUAGCUAGAGUCUUGUAGAGGGGGUAGAAUUCCAUGUGUAGCGGUGAAAUGCGUAGAGAUGUGGAGGAAUACCGGUGGCGAAGGCGGCCCCUGGACAAAGACUGACGCUCAUGUGCGAAAGC
rnacentral:rRNA from 1 species